AUGUAGCCACCGAAACAAUUGUGGUUCAGGGAUUCAUUCAAGGAACACAUAAGUUCGUUCCAACGAAGAGUUCACAUGUUAGGGUUCUAAGUUACUACAUUUUAAAAUAUCACUUCUGAGAAGAAGAAUAUACAUCCAUUGCAUCCUAUGUGGGAAACAAUUCUCAGAAAUUCUUUAGAAACCAUCAGUGACUUCAAUUCUCCUGCAGUGCAAGGAAUGGCUUUUAAAUCGAAUAAACGUUUUCCAUAGGAAGGAUUAAACAUCGUAUGAUUGUUUGAGAUGUUCCUUGCUAGUCAGCACAUGAAAAAUUACAGGGGAACUUUUCACCAUUUCUGCUGUGUGUGCUGAAUCUCAUUAGCAUUUACUUCUUUUAUCACUUUCAUUCAUUGACCAUCAAUCAAUAAGUAUUAUAUGAUUGUAAGUCUUACCCGGUACCACUUCACCAAUGUGGUACCCUGUCUUGUUAUAUAAGAAACAUUUGGCAAAAUAAAACUAUUUUAAAGAAAUCCAAAUGCAAAAAUUCUUAAACAUAGCUGAGUACUUCUUCACAUUCUCCUCCUACCUUAUGUGUGACUUCGUCCAAAAGUAGCCUUUAAAUUUCCUCUAAAUGCACUCACUAAAUUGCCAUGCAAGUGUUCAAUGGAAAUUAAACUUGAUGAAAACAUCCUUUUUGUCGUAGUAAUAUCCAAAAUUGUUAUGGAGGUACUUUUUUAUAACAUUGUGAUGACAGCAUUAAACUGAAAGUUUAUUGGCGUCAUUAUGGGCUGUAGUGUCACACGUUUGGACCUGCAUCACUCCAUUGCACACAUCAUUCUAGAGUGGUAAUCUUGCUUGGAAAGGACACGAAUAAUUUAGUAUUCAAAAUUCUGAAGCCUGACUAUAUUCACCACUUUGCUUAAGGUGGCGUUUUCUCAUUUUUGGAGGACGAAACUUAUGGCGGCAUCAUAUUAGACGACAUCAUAUGCUUUGGUUGCGAUUGCGUAAAGUCCUUCAAGCUAUAGAAGAACAUCAAGCUAUUCGUAAUAUAUCAUGAUUGUAUCCCCAAAAUAGUGACAUUAUUAAGGGCUAAAGUGAUACAUGUUUAGAGCUGCAAAUGUGCAUUGCAUUGGAGGCACAGAUGUCCAUUGCACAACACGUAAUAUUGUUGAGGAAUUUAAGUCGUCUGGUUAAUAGUCUGUCCUCUUUCUUACAGAGCAUACGUACAAUUGCCUAUUUUCUAUUUUAUACCCAAGCAUAGCUUUUUGGCCACAUUAGCUAGUUCUUGAGUGGAAAAGAAGCAAAAGAAAUAAAAGCACCUUUACUCCGACCGUGUUUCCUUAACAGUCUCACAGACGUAAUAGUUCCGAAUCCUUUUGAACAACUUCUCGUUAAUUAUGCGGCCCAAAUUUUAACCUUAAGGUGAAUCCAGUGGACAUUUUUAGUCAGAAUUAAUGAAGUCACAGAAUGUCGGGUUAGUUUCCGUAGUUUUGCUAGUUUUACAGAUUGUUACCGUUUUGAUGGUACCGCAUUCGGUGAAGAGUUGAUCCUUGGUGAUGUUUUGGUUGGUUGGUUGGUUUUGGCGUAGAAGUAUCCGAAGAUGUUUAUAUGCAACUCCUAAUACUAUUUACACGCAUAGUCUCUUGAAUAUUUUAAAAAUUAAGACUGACUGUACAGAUUGGUUUCUAAUACAAAACACGCAUAAUUCUUCCAGAUUUAUCACGUUCAUCCUUGGGGAUAAUAUGUUUUAAUCAAAACAACUUUGUCCAGCUGAAGUAAGUGGAUAUGUUUAAAUGAAUAUUUUGUGAGUUUUAAUAAUUUGUGAGUAAUGGUAAAUAGUUGAUAGAAUUUUGCCAAUUAACAUGUGGUGCAAACCAAAUAUAUCUUUUGGAAUCCAACCCCCAAUCAUUUAAAGGUCCAAUAAUUUUGAUAGAUUACAAUAUUAAUUUUGGUUGGAAACGUUUAAAACUUUCGAAGCAGUCACAAAUGGGGUUAUUAAAGGUACAGACGAUGAAACCACAGGUUAUACCACAUAUAAUGUGUGAAGAAACAAAGAAGAUUUCUAAAGAACAACUGAAUGAUCAAGGUGACAAAACUUGAAGCUGACAUGAACUAGGAACCAACUUGUUUAAGUUUCUGGCAAUAAUUCCUACGUUUGAUUUUACCUAACGACGAUGGAGUAAAGGAGAUUCCUGUGAUUUUGAAGAAUCUUGAAGACAAAUAAUUGCACAAGUUAACCUGAAUAAAAAUAGAAUCUGAAAUAAGCAAGGAACGAAACUUU